UUUACCAUGUAGAGCAUUGUAUAGCUAGUAAAGCUUUAAAAAGAAAAACAAGCCCUGAAAUCUCUUUUAAGCACUGUGCAAUCAGAGACGUCAUCCUAUGACAAUGGAAAUCCUGCUUGGCUUGUUUACAUUAGUCUGUUAGAAACUGGAACUAUGUGUUUGGUGGGUGGCAAGUACAUUAAAGUCAUAAGGACUGAGGUGUAACUUUCCUAUCCCUGAGCUUGGAGGUUGAAGUCUGGGGAUUUGUAAGGACAGGUGAAACUUUGAACUCAAGAGGACCCUAACAAAUCACAAGAUAGGGUCCCUCCAACAAGAGAUCAAUCAGUUAGAAUAACAGUAGCAUGCAGUGGCUUGACAGGGAGCUUAUGAAAGUCAAAGCAAACAGCCCUGAGAAAAAGCUCCAAUUUCGUUUGUUUUCCAAAAAUACUUCGGAUAAAAACAAUGUGAAGGUGAGAGUGGUCAACACAGAGAGCGUUGGAAAGUCUGAACAUUGAAGUGGAAAAAAGGGAGUCUCACAUCAAGGAGUCUCCACACCCUGCCAACCCUCUGACACCCCCCCCAUCAUCCCACUGUGCCACCAGCUGCUGUCCCCUCUUCAACAACUGCCACUGUGUGUCACUAGGGACAAGAGACAGCACAGCUAGCACAGUCACACAUUAAUACACAUCUAUACUACAUACUGUAUGUGGCCAUCAAAUUCACUGCAUCUCAGUGAAAUGAUUUUGUUUUCAUAGAUACCGUACGCAAGACAUACUCUAAGUAUUUAGAAAAAGAUAACAUCUGAACUGCCUUUUAUGUAUACAAAGUAUUGCCUUGAAGUUUUUCUUGUCUUGACAUUUGACUGCUUUCCCACUUAAAAUGAAUCAAGAAACAGCAUAUCAGUUCAUUAUAAUAAUCAACAUCUCUGAACAAGAAUAUGUUAGCUAACCCAUUAUUUUCAUGCACUGUUUAGGGCCAAUGAACCCCAAACUUUCCAUCGAAACAAGCUUUCAACUCUGAGUUGUUCCGUGUUUAUGUGGUCUAGCUAUGCCACUACUGUGUUUUCUGAGUGGAAGGAUUGUCAGAAAGGAAAGUAAAGGUCUGGUUCCCUCGACCUAUAAAGGAAGCAGGCAUAGCGAUCCUGCCAUGGUCGACCGUGGAUACACUGGAUUGAGUGCCUCAGUGCCUGUAAGGUUGCCCUGCUAAGCGAAAAACCUUCUGGGUCGGCCCGGUUUGCACAGUCAGCUCGAGUUUCCCACAGCCGCGGUUCUCCUUUCAUUUGCCUAGUUUCCAGCGACGAGUUACAAGGUAUGCUGUGCUAUCUCAUGGCUGUGUCAUCAUGCCACCGCACCCACUGAUAGUGGAUUGUCCCAAACCAACUGAUGAACCAGUGUAACCAUUUUUCACUUUUAAUAUGCAUUAGAUGUGGCUGUUGCAGAUGGCUACAUGUUCCACCCGUGGCUCCUUCUAACAGAAUGUGUCAGAUACUGGUGUUGUGUGAUACAGAUAUAUACACCACACUGGUGUUGUGUGAUACAGAUAUAUACACCACACCGGUGUUGUGUGAUACAGAUAUAUACACCACACCGGUGUUGUGUGAUACAGAUAUAUACACCACACCGGUGCUGUGUGAUACAGAUAUAUACACCACACCGGUGCUGUGUGAUACAGAUAUAUACACCACACCGGUGUUGUGUGCUACAGAUAUAUACACCACACUGGUGUUGUGUGAGGGGAUGUCUAUGGAAUGAUAACACUGGGGAUCUUUUUCUAUUUUAGAGUUAGCAAGGGGCAAGGUUGGACAUGAAAGAUGGAUCGGGGUGGUGCUGACAAGAUGGCAAGUGUGUGUGUCUGUUGUGUGUGUGUGCGCAUUCGUGCGUGUGUGUAAUUUGCAGACAGAUGCUACUUAGAACAGGAUACCCCCUCAGCUUUGGGACACUAAAUAUAUCGACAAACUGUAUUUCCCAUUACAUUCAUCACACAUGCAUUUUCGUGAAGAAAGAAACAGAGUUCUGUCUGGACCCUAUUGACAAGGACAGAUUUAGAUGACUCACAGCAGAGUAUGUCAGAUGGGCUGGGGAUUAAUUGCAAUCAAAACCAUUCAUCUGAAUAAUUUAUGUGCCGGGCACUGCUGGCUUUCCCUGUCAACAAAGACAUGAAUAUUCUCUCCCCUCUAAUCAUUUCACAUUUUAAGUUGCCUGAUUGAAUAAAUCUCAAGAACUAAGAAA